GGAUUGAACGCUGGCGGCAGGCCUAACACAUGCAAGUCGAGCGGCAGCACGGGUACUUGUACCUGGUGCGAGCGGCGGACGGGUGAGUAAUGCCUAGGAAUCUGCCUGAUAGUGGGGAUAACGUUCGGAAACGGACGCUAAUACCGCAUACGUCCUACGGGAGAAAGUGGGGAUCUUCGGACCUCACGCUAAUCAGAUGAGCUAGUCGGAUUAGCUAGUUGGUAGGGUAAAGGCUACCAAGGCCUAAGAUCCGUAACUGUCGUGAGAGGAUGAUGAGUCACACUGGAACGUGAGAACCACGGUCCAA
rnacentral:rRNA from 1 species